GAUGAACGCUGGCGGCGUGCCUAAUACAUGCAAGUCGAGCGAACACAUAAGGAGCUUGCUCCUUUGACGUUAGCGGCGGACGGGUGAGUAACACGUGGGUAACCUACCUCUAAGACUGGAAUAACUCCGGGAAACCGGGGCUAAUGCCGGCUAACAUUUCGAACCGCAUGGUUCUAAAGUUAAAGAUGGUUUUGCUAACACUUAUAGACGGACCCGCGCCGUAUUAGCUAGUUGGUAAGGUAACGGCUUACCAAGGCCACGAUACGUAGCCGACCUGAGAGGGUGAUCGGCCACACUGGAACUGAGACACGGUCCAGACUCCUACGGGAGGCAGCAGUAGGGAAUAUUCCGCAAUGGGCGAAAGCCUGACGGAGCAACGCCGCGUGAGUGAUGAAGGUCUUCGGAUCGUAAAACUCUGUUAUUAGGGAAGAAAAAAUGUGGAAGUAAAUCUGGCCGUCUUGACGGUACCUAAAGAGAAAGCAACGGCUAACUACGUG
rnacentral:rRNA from 1 species